GACGUAGGGUCCAAGCGUUGUCCGGAUUUACUGGGCGUAAAGAGCGCGUAGGCGGUCUGUUAAGUGAGAAGUGAAAUCUCCAGGGCUCAACCCGGAAACUGCUUUUCAUACUGGCAGACUUGAGGGAUGCAGAGGUGAAUGGAAUUCCUGGUGUAGCGGUGAAAUGCGUUGAUAUCGGGAGGAACACCCAUGGCGAAGGCAGUUCACUGGGCAUAAACUGACGCUGAGGCGCGAAAGCGUGGGUAGCAAACAGG
rnacentral:rRNA from 1 species